UUCGGUGGGGAUUAGUGGCGAACGGGUGAGUAACACGUGGGCAAUCUGCCCUUGCACUACAGGGACAAGCCCUGGAAACGGGGUCUAAUACCGGAUAUUGACCUUCACGGGCAUCUGUGAGGUUCGAAAGCUCCGGCGGUGCAGGAUGAGCCCGCGGCCUAUCAGCUUGUUGGUGAGGUAAUGGCUCACCAAGGCGACGACGGGUAGCCGGCCUGAGAGGGCGACCGGCCACACUGGGACUGAGACACGGCCCAGACUCCUACGGGAGGCAGCAGUGGGGAAUAUUGCACAAUGGGCGAAAGCAUGAUGCAGCGACGCCGCGUGAGGGACGACGGCCUUCGGGUUGUAAACCUCUUUCAGCAGGGAAGAAGCGAAAGUGACGGUACCUGCAGAAGAAGCGCCGGCUAACUACGUGCCAGCAGCCGCGGUAAUACGUAGGGCGCAAGCGUUGUCCGGAAUUAUUGGGCGUAAAGAGCUCGUAGGCGGCUUGUCACGUCGGUUGUGAAAGCCCGGGGCUUAACCCCGGGUCUGCAGUCGAUACGGGCAGGCUAGAGUUCGGUAGGGGAGAUCGGAAUUCCUGGUGUAGCGGUGAAAUGCGCAGAUAUCAGGAGGAACACCGGUGGCGAAGGCGGAUCUCUGGGCCGAUACUGACGCUGAGGAGCGAAAGCGUGGGGAGCGAACAGGAUUAGAUACCCUGGUAGUCCACGCCGUAAAC
rnacentral:rRNA from 1 species